ensembl:lncRNA
GGGCAGAUGAGGAGCGUCUUUUGUUAUUGUCUAGUCGCUCAGUCACGUUUGACUCUUUGCGACCCUAUGGACUGCAGCCCACCAGGCUCCUCUGUCCAUGGUAUUUUCCAGAAGCACAGAAACACGUGAUCCUGGCCCCUGGGAGGCAUCUCCAGUUUCUUAGGAGUCAGCUUCUGCAUGCCCUGUUCCUGGGGGCUGGCCCCUGGCUCUAAGAAGAUGACACUGUGGCCACCUCGUCCUUACAGAGAGCUGGGAGCUCCCUCUGGCUCCCUGGCAGCCUGUGACCAAGAACUCCCUAGUGGGAGGACAGACACCAGCUCCUUUGCCUCGAGGUUCUCCUGAGAACACUCCCUUCAGAAACUGCUGGCAUCAGGUCCUUGACCAGGUUCUGGAAGACUCUGUCCUGAGACUGUGAAAACACAGGACCUUCCAAGAGUCAUGCAAGAGUUACCAUCAUUAGACACAUACUUAGGAGUUGGGCUCUGCCCUCCAUCUUCAGAGCCAGAGGUCAAGAGGAGUAUUUGGGGUGCCAAAUCACAUCUGGAGAAAUUGGGCAUUCGAAAGACUAAGAGACUGGCCCAAGGUUCACAGCAAAGAAAAGUACUAGGACUCAGGUCUGUUCCUCUAAAGCCAUGCUCCUGGUUGGACCUCGCUGCCUGCCCUACCUGGGCUGCUUAGAGUGUUUCUACAUGUUUGUCUUUUUAACCCACAAACCCAGACCCACUUAUCCGAUUCCCACUAAGACCACACGCGCUCCAAAGAAUACGCACUCCUCAGGGCUCGCUCGCGAAUGGCAGCGCCAGGAUUCCAAACCAGAUUCCAAACCAGGGUUCCACACAGAGUGCAGGCAAGGCUGUAGUCAAGCCCGGUGUUACGAUGUGGCUGGCUGUGACCAUGGGUGGUUGAACACUAUGCCCCAAAGGCCCUGGCAAGGCAGAGAACCACGCUUUCAAAGGAAGCCACAAGUCCCAGUUUCAGACACCCAAAGGAAAGUCUCUCCAUUCGGGGCACUGGAGGUGACUUGAGGGGACGAGCUGAGACUUCUCAAUGUCACCCUGCCUUCCCCAGAGCAUCUUGGUCCACCCUAUUCUCAUCCUCAUGACCUCUCUCCCAGUGACCCUGAACAC